rnacentral:rRNA from 1 species
GAUGAACGCUGACAGAAUGCUUAACACAUGCAAGUCUACUUGAACUUCGGUUUGGGUGGCGGACGGGUGAGUAACGCGUAAAGAACUUGCCUCACAGUUAGGGACAACAUUUGGAAACGAAUGCUAAUACCUGAUAUUAUGAUUUUAGGGCAUCCUAAGAUUAUGAAAGCUAUAUGCGCUGUGAGAGAGCUUUGCGUCCCAUUAGCUAGUUGGAGAGGUAACAGCUCACCAAGGCGAUGAUGGGUAGCCGGCCUGAGAGGGUGAACGGCCACAAGGGGACUGAGACACGGCCCUUACUCCUACGGGAGGCAGCAGUGGGGAAUAUUGGACAAUGGACCAAAAGUCUGAUCCAGCAAUUCUGUGUGCACGAUGACGUUUUUCGGAAUGUAAAGUGCUUUCAGUUGGGAAGAAAAAAAUGACGGUACCAACAGAAGAAGUGACGGCUAAAUACGUGCCAGCAGCCGCGGUAAUACGUAUGUCACAAGCGUUAUCCGGAUUUAUUGGGCGUAAAGCGCGUCUAGGUGGUUAUGUAAGUCUGAUGUGAAAAUGCAGGGCUCAACUCUGUAUUGCGUUGGAAACUGCAUGACUAGAGUACUGGAGAGGUAAGCGGAACUACAAGUGUAGAGGUGAAAUUCGUAGAUAUUUGUAGGAAUGCCGAUGGGGAAGCCAGCUUACUGGACAGAUACUGACGCUAAAGCGCGAAAGCGUGGGUAGCAAACAGG